rnacentral:rRNA from 1 species
CAGCAGCCGCGGUAAUACCGAGGGUGCGAGCGUUAAUCGGAUUUACUGGGCGUAAAGCGCACGCAGGCGGUCUGUCAAGUCAGAUGUGAAAUCCCCGGGCUUAACCUGGGAACUGCAUUUGAAACUGGCAGGCUAGAGUCUUGUAGAGGGGGGUAGAAUUCCAGGUGUAGCGGUGAAAUGCGUAGAGAUCUGGAGGAAUACCGGUGGCGAAGGCGGCCCCCUGGACAAAGACUGACGCUCAGGUGCGAAAGCGUGGGGAGCAAACAGGAUUAGAUACCCCAGUAGUCCCUGUCUCUUAUAC